rnacentral:rRNA from 1 species
CGCUGGCGGCGUGCUUAACACAUGCAAGUCGAACGAUGAAGCCCAGCUUGCUGGGUGGAUUAGUGGCGAACGGGUGAGUAACACGUGAGUAACCUGCCCUUAACUCUGGGAUAAGCCUGGGAAACUGGGUCUAAUACCGGAUAGGAGCGUCCACCGCAUGGUGGGUGUUGGAAAGAUUUAUCGGUUUUGGAUGGACUCGCGGCCUAUCAGCUUGUUGGUGAGGUAAUGGCUCACCAAGGCGACGACGGGUAGCCGGCCUGAGAUGGUGACCGGCCACACUGGGACUGAGACACGGCCCAGACUCCUACGGGAGGCAGCAGUGGGGAAUAUUGCACAAUGGGCGCAAGCCUGAUGCAGCGACGCCGCGUGAGGGAUGACGGCCUUCGGGUUGUAAACCUCUUUCAGUAGGGAAGAAGCGAAAGUGACGGUACCUGCAGAAGAAGCACCGGCUAACUACGUG